rnacentral:sRNA from 1 species
AAUGAUACUUCUGUGUAAGGCACAGCUCGCCGGAAGGCGGGAUAUGUUGUUUCAGGCUGGAAACUGAUGUCUCUUAUAACAUAU